UGCGUAACACGUAUCCAACCUGCCGUCUACUCUUGGACAGCCUUCUGAAAGGAAGAUUAAUACAAGAUGGCAUCAUGAGUUCACAUGUUCACAUGAUUAAAGGUAUUCCGGUAGACGAUGGGGAUGCGUUCCAUUAGAUAGUAGGCGGGGUAACGGCCCACCUAGUCUUCGAUGGAUAGGGGUUCUGAGAGGAAGGUCCCCCACAUUGGAACUGAGACACGGUCCAA
rnacentral:rRNA from 1 species